ACUCGUACUCAUGAUCAUGGUCAUAUGAGUUCUGAGAACUGCUGUUUAGUUGUGCUGUCGUGCUGAUUGCUAGCUUAGUUUUGGUUACUGAGAGUUGAAGAGAGAGUUGCAGAAAAUUUGAUAGAUCUACUCUUACUGUUGGACAGUUACUGAGAGAGAAGCAAGGAGGCAGAGGUAAAUUCAGCUCUUACUGUUGGACAGUUAGUGAGAGGGAAGCAGGGAGGAAGAGGUGAAUAGAGCUCUUAUUGUUGAACAUUUACUGAGAGAGAAGCAAGGAGGCAGAGGUAAAUAGAGUUGUUACUGUUGGACAGUUAUUGAGAGACGAGCAAGGAGGAAGAGGUGAAUAGAGCUCUUACUGUUGGACAGUUACUGACACAGAAGCAAGGAGGCAGAGGUGAAUAGAGCUCUUACUGUUGGACAGUUACUGACACAGAAGCAAGGAGGCAGAGGUGAAUAGAACUCUUACUGUUGGACAGUUAAUGAGAGAGAAGCAAGGAGGCAGAGGUAAACAGAACUCUUAUUGUUGGACAGUUACUGACACAGAAGCAAGGAGGCAGAGGUGAAUAGAACUCUUACUGUUGGACAGUUAAUGAGAGAGAAGCAAGGAGGCAGAGGUAAAUAGAGUUGUUACUGUUGGACAGUUAUUGAGAGACAAGCAAGGAGGAAGAGGUGAAUAGAGCUUUUACUGUUGGACAGUUACUGAGACAGAAGCAAGGAGGCAGAGGUGUCUGGCUGUCACUUAUGUGUUUGUGUUUGUCUCCUGGAAAAGUAAUUGUUUUAUGUUGACAUCUUUUCAUUGUAUACAUUUGAACCAAAGAACCUUCAUCUCACCUCUUUUCCUAAUCUCAGAAGAGAUCCUGCUCUCAGAAGAGAGUGUCCCACACUCAAGAAGGGUGUGCGUCUUUAUCCAUUUCAUCACAUUUCACCCACGGGAGACCGUGGUAGAGUUGUAUAAAGAAUCCACAGAAGAAAUUACUGAAAAAGAAAAGAAAAUACUGAAAAAGAAAAGAAAAUACUGAAAAAGAAAACAGGAACCAGGUGAGACUCCUGGAUAUAUAAUCAAUAACAGGAAGCAGGUGAAACUCCUGGAUAUAUAAGCAAUAACAGGAACCAGGUGAGACUCCUGGAUAAAUAAGCAAUAACAGGAACCAGGUGAGACUCCUGGAUAAAUAAGCAAUAACAGGAAGCAGGUGAAACUCCUGGAUAUAUAAUCAAUAACAGGAACCAGGUGAGACUCCUGGAUAAAUAAGCAAUAACAGGAACCAGGUGAGACUCCUGGAUAAAUAAGCAAUAACAGGGACAGUGUGUUAGAAAAACAAACAGGCUUGAUAGGAAUAAAUACAAUUUAUCAAAUUACAGUUUUGAGAAAUAAAAGGCAAGUUUGCAAAAAGUGGGAAACAAACUUGGGAUAUUUUCAGUUGUAGGGAUACAAUAAAGUGUGUUUGCUUACAAAGAACUUUGGGUGAGCGUAUUGGAAAUUCAUUAACCAGUGAUAAGAUUAAUUAAUCAGAAGAAAAGCAGGAUAUUUGAUCGUUUACAGAUUUUUUUCAAAAGGAAGUAAGCGUGGUAAAAUUGAAAAAGGAGUGGGGAAAAUUGAAGAAAGAAAAGAAGGUUUAGAAAUACAAGUGAACUAGAGUAGUUGGAUAGAAGAUAUUUGAUUACAGAGGUUUUUAGGUUAAAAGAAAAAGAAGUGAGUUUGAAAAAUUACAAAGAGAGUGAGUAAAAUUGAAGUCAAGAGAACAAGUAACCUUGAGUAGUUUGAAAGAGCAUAUUUUAUUACAGAGAGGUUUUUUUAAAGAAAGGAGUAAGCUUUAAAUUACAAAGAGUGAGGACGAUUGAAGAGAGUAAGGUUCAAAAGUUUAUAGAGUUAGAAAAAAAAAAGGAAGUGACUGAUAAAUUAUACAUACUGAAGUCAAGUGUGGAGAAUUGAAGAGAAUUAAGUGCAGAGAUAGAAGUGGGCUUGAGUAGUUGCAGAGAGGGUAUUUGAUCAUUCACAGAUUUUGUUUAAAAAAUCCCUGAUAAAUUACAAAAAGAUUGAGGAAAAUUGAAGUAAGAGGAAACGUAAAUACAAGUGAGCUUAGGUGGUUGGAAAGAAAAUAUUUGAUUAGAGAGUUUUUAGAAUAAAAAGACCGGAACUUGGUAAAUUACAUAUUCGUGAGGAAAAUUAAAGCCAGAGAACAAGAUUGAGAAAUAAAGUGGGCUUAAGAACUUUGAUAGAGGAUAUUUGAUGACACUUUUUUUUUUAAUUUAAGAAAGAGGUAAGCUUGAUUAAUUACAAAAGCGUGAGAAAAGUUGAAGUAAGAGAAUAAAGUCCAGAACUUACAGAGUUUAGAGAAAAGGAGGUGUCUUUGAUAAGUUGAACAUAUUAAAAAAAAGGAAAAAAAGGGUGAGGAAAUACAAGUGGGCUUGAGAAGUUGCAGAGAAGGUAUUUUAUCAUUUACAGAGUUUUGGAGAAAAGAAGGGAGCGUGAUAAAUAAAAAGAAUAAGGAAAUUAUUAAAGAGAUCAAGGUAGAAAAAUACAAGUGGGCUUGAGUGGUUGGAAAGAAAAUAUUUGAUCACAGAUUUUCUUUUCUUUUUUUUAAAGUGAGCUUGAUAAAUAACAAAAGUAGAAAAAUUGAAGUAAGAGAACAAGGUUUAGGAAAAACAUAUAAGCUUAAGUAGUUUCAUAGAGAGUAGGAAACGUGUUAAUAUAACUAAUAUUCAAGUAAUUAACUAAAGUUUGUUGAUAAAGAAGAGAGUUGAAGGAAAUUUUGAUAAUGAUAUUCAGUGUUUGUAUUAAGUGACUUUCAUUACAAGGAAAAUAACAGUAUAAUAAACCCUUAAGUGUGAAAAGGGGAUAAACAAUUUUGCAUCGAGAGUGACAGAGUCCACUUGCGAGUCUGCUUCAUUGACAAACAGAUUUUAAAAAUUGUCAGGGAACUAAAAGUUUUUAAUAAAGUAUUGCACUUUGAAGAGAUAUAUUGCAGAAUAGAUACAAAGAUUCGUACGUGAAAUCUUUAAAAGUAUUACCUUCUUGUACAUCCAAAACACAUCAAGGCAUUUAUUUGAAUAUUACUAAUUAGACUGUAAACUUUUAAUAUUGUGCAUUUUAUGCCUAUUGCGAUAAAGAGAUUGAAAAUGGCUGCCACUCAAUUCAGCUCUAUUGUUCAUGAGAUUCUAAGCAUGCUUUCCAGUUACACAUCGAUGAUCAACACAGAUGUUGAUGAAUGUUAUUGCAUGGAUAAGAUCAAUAAAAGUGACAACUAUGUAACAUGCGAGUCUUGUACCAACCAUUUCCAUGUGACAUGUGAGGAAUACUUGAACAAUGACAAACUUGCUGACCAGAGAUUGAUUUGGAUUUGCUCAUGCUGUGGUCAUAGCAAUAUUGGCGAUCGAAUAUUUGACAAAGUAUGUAUUCCAUCUCAUUAUAACAGAUAUGAGCCUCUCAUGUCAGCAGAUGAUGAUGAUGACAAUGACGAUGAGAACAUGGAGAUCUUCAAACAGACAAGACGAGUAAGGACAUCAAAGAAGAGAUUCUGAUCAACGCUCUAACCAAAGAACUUGCAACAUUCUGGAAAAGAUGCAGGAUUUGAGACGAUACAGAGUCUACGCAGGAGGUAAAAGAGGAAGAGGUCGAAAAAGGAACAUGAAAGGUCAGUCUUCCAAAGCCGGGAAAAAAGGCACUGAUGGAAAUCACUCUUCUGAUAAAUCAGAGAUUAGAUUUGACAAAGAUGAAGGAAUAGAAUUAGCAGUAAAGAAUGAGAAGCUGGAUACAAAGAAAUCUAUGAAUGCAAGUGACCAAGGACUUGAUCCAAAUACAUGUAAAAAUGAUGAACACUCAGACCAGCAUAU